CUGCUACCCGCAGGACGCAAAAGAGAGACGGACCACGGAGGCAGUUCAGUCCGGGUUCACUAACUCCCACAGGCACUGCCAGCCGACGACCCAGACUGGUUCCCGUCCGAGGUUUAUAAAGGGAAGGCUGGACAAGCUGUGGCUGUUGGUGUGAUGGUUCCCUUGAAGUAAGGCUGGGCAGUUCAGACAUUAAUCCCUAGAUACUGUAAGUCUCUGUCUGAAGUUUCUCUCGUCUGCCUCAUGAUCAUCGUGAAAGGACAGAAACUGAGACCACUGAAAAGACCUCAGGUCAGAAUUCUAGCUUUGCUUGAGAUGGUUGCUUGCCAAGAUCCGGAGGCCUGAGCAGAGCUUCUGGCCUGCCAAGCUAUUGUUUGCAGGUGUGUUUGCUGUAUUGGAUCACUGAACCUAGUGAAAGGAGAAGGGGCAUCUUGCCCUUCUUCACCUGCACCCGCUUUUCACAACAAUGGGCCUGGAAUUUCUCCACCUCUCAGCUUGGCUGGACUUUUCUGAGGUAACUUCUGGUGGUCCCCAUGGAAGACCCUUCAUCUGUUUUACAGCCACUGUGAUGGAUGUACUGAGAUGGGAGAAGCAUUUCCCUCAAGGACUGAGAUAUGAAACCCCUAACAUGGGGGA